UUUCAAUUGAAGCUGUUUUAAACAUAAUUAUAUUUUUGAUUGCCGUUAAUUUAUGUAGUUAUUGUUAUGCGUUUUGGAUUAAUUUUGUAUAAAUGCGUUUGCGGUUUCUGUUUUGUCGUUAAAUUGCUGAAAAUUAUUGGGUCUGUUAAAUAAUUCAUGCAACUUGAAACAUAUAGACGUAAUAACAAUGUGUAUUAAUUUUUCUCAAAGAUAGAUUUGACCCAAUUUGAUAUGUUAUUUAGGUUUUCAGAAGCUGUUUAUAAAUUGCAGAUUUGUUGUUAGGUCUUGGAAUUUGGAUCAUGAUGAAAUUCUUAAUCGUAUUUGGCAGCUAGGAAAAUGGGAGGAAAGGGAAAAGAGUUUGGGAUUUGGAGAAUCUUCUUAUUGGGAUUUGUGGACUCGUACAAAGAUUUUUCCUACUUUAUUGGUGAACACUUAGAGGACUUAGUUUAACAGCGUGUAGGAAUUAGAUUAUUCUCAAAUGAAAUCAGAAAAUGCCACUGACUCAGGAUUAUGCUAUUGCUUUUAUUUUUCUAAGCAACCAAGCUGAGG
rnacentral:misc_RNA from 1 species